rnacentral:rRNA from 1 species
UACGUAGGGGGCGAGCGUUGUCCGGAUUCAUUGGGCGUAAAGAGCUCGUAGGCGGUUCGGUAAGUCAGGUGUGAAAACUCCAGGCUCAACUUGGAGACGCCACCUGAUACUGUCGUGACUAGAGUCCGGUAGGGGAGCAUGGAAUUCCUGGUGUAGCGGUGAAAUGCGCAGAUAUCAGGAGGAACACCAGCGGCGAAGGCGGUGCUCUGGGCCGGAACUGACGCUGAGGAGCGAAAGCGUGGGUAGCAAACAGG